rnacentral:pre_miRNA from 1 species
CCCAAGGUUUGACUUAAACAUUGUCCUAAACGACUUUGUUUAUGAAUACGGAGGGAGUAUUUUUGUUGUUAUGAGAUGAUAAAAUAUAAAUAGUACUUUACCUUGUGACUUAUGUUUUUAAUUUUUUUUAAAAAAAGAUUAAAAUAAGACGGACGGUUAAAGUUGGGCAUGAAAAACGAUGGAUGCACUUAAA